CAUCCAGGUUGAGGCUUGCUACCAGCAAGAACAUGGAGCACUCUGUGUCGGUGCUAGAGACAGAAUGGUCCCGGGACCUCCAGAGCCUUCUGACCAACUACCUGCGAUCUCUCCAGAGCACAGACAAGUGAGUCUGCUGGGCCAUGGAACACAUAAAAACCUGCCAUCCUGUUGUCAGCUAUAUGCUGACAGUUCCCUG